CUGUGGCUGCGUGCAAAGCGUCUCGACGCACACGCAUGCGCGUAUAACGUAAACAGGGAGUGGCCGAGCGUGGCAGAUUUUCCGCAAACUUUGGCAACGCGACGUGACAUUUGCAUGAUAUUGAAUUUCGCCAGUUGACCGUGCGUCAUUUACCAAAAGUUUAGGUUAAAGGUUAUUCGUGCUUUUUUUUUUUCUAAUAAAAUUAAUAAGUAGAUAGUAAAGUCUCGAAAUUAAUCUUUUCGUUUGUUUCUGGAUCGAAUAAUUUACGACGAGUUUUGAUGAAUCUCACAGUUUUUCGAGAAAACUUCCGAUAAAUUAAAAUGUUAAUUUCAAGUAUAUCGCAGUGGAUAGAAUAAUUUAAACGACAAUGAAAUAAUUGUUUCGUCGAAACGUUUUAAUUUUUAAACAAGCUCGAUCGAGCUUGAAUCUAAUCUGCUAAAUUAAUACUAUUUACAUCGCAUUUCAUCAACGUUGAAAACGUCGAUAUCAUAGCGAUACAGAGGCGUUGAAAUAUUUAUAAUUUGAUAUAUUAAAUUGAUGUCACGCAAAGAUAUAUUGGAACUGUUUCUGUAUAGCGAAAUCCUCAUUAUCCGAAUUAAUCGUGGUAUGCGAAGCUCGAUCGAACGUUUCGCAUAGUAAUGUUAAUGCAUACUUCAUAUAAUUACAUUCCAAUAUACGAGCUAUUGCAUCGCGGUAUAAAUUAUCUCAUAAAAUAAACGGGAAUGUGGGUGGCGAGUAAUAAUUAGAUCUAAUAAGAGGGCAAUAACGAAGAUGCAUAUCGCGAAAUUAAUGUAAUAUAGCGCGAUAAAUUCAAUUUUUUUUUUUAAACAAAAUUUUCUUCCACAAAGAUUUAUCGAUUCGCUUAAUUUAAAUAUAAUUUUUAUAGUAACUUUUAUUUUUCUUUUAUUUAUUUAUAAUUGGUAUUUAAUAUUUGAAAAUCUUCGAGUAAUUUAACUUUAAUUAUUAUAGAGAAACCACGCAAGUAAUCAAGGUUUAUUUAAUUCGAUCAUUAGCUUUAACAAUGCUUAUAUAUUAGUUUGCGUCAUUUGAGGAGAUCGAAAUCUAUUUUAUCAUCUACGUACAUGAUCCGUUUCUGAAAUGUAAAAUUUUCAACUGUGCACAGUGUGUGAUGUGUGAUGUGUACACAUAAUAUAUCAAUUACGCAAUUUAAAGUAUAAUUUACAAGUAAAGGUAAAUAAAUAUUUCUAAAAAAUAAUUUUCUAAAAAUGUGACCAUUCCGUUGAUUGAAAUUUGAAUAUUCGAAAUUCCACUUGCUAGUUGUAAAAAGUCAACGUGUUAGAAGAGAUAUCGAUCUUUUAUUAGAAAAUGAAUUUGUCAUUGUCGAAUGAAUUACAGUAGACGUGUAAAAAGAUUUUUGGUAAAGGAUAAAAGUGAAAAAAAAAUCAGGAUUACGAUUAAAACGGAUGAUGGCUCUAUUUCCCCCGAAACUUGUAUAUCAGCCAAUUAAAUUGUCGCUUUCUCGUCGAUCUUAUCGAUCGAUCCAUGCGGAAGAGAGGUACUCCCUAAUCUAUCGAAAUCGAGCAACGACACGAAGGAUUCCAACGAUGGUAAACCGAGGUAUUCAGGUCGCAGCAAGGCCGAACUGCGUGCACAGUCGCAAAGUAAAAGUGCACAGAAAUAAAAUGUAGGCUGUUACGUGGCUCGAGGCAUCUCACUCUAGGUCUGGACAUUUUGGAGACUUUGAAUAACCAUUCUCCAACAGCUGUAUCUAACGAUAUAUUUGCAUUUUAUUCCUUCGAUAUAUUUUAUCGUUAAAUAAUAAAAUAAUAAUGUAAUAAUCACAAAUAAAUAAUUCACACAUAUCUUUUAA